GGCCCUUCGGGGUACUCGAGCGGCGAACGGGUGAGUAACACGUGAGCAACCUGCCCCAGGCUUUGGGAUAACCCCGGGAAACCGGGGCUAAUACCGAAUAUGACCUCUGACCGCAUGGUUGGUGGUGGAAAGUUUUUCGGCUUGGGAUGGGCUCGCGGCCUAUCAGCUUGUUGGUGGGGUGAUGGCCUACCAAGGCGACGACGGGUAGCCGGCCUGAGAGGGCGACCGGCCACACUGGGACUGAGACACGGCCCAGACUCCUACGGGAGGCAGCAGUGGGGAAUAUUGCACAAUGGGCGGAAGCCUGAUGCAGCGACGCCGCGUGAGGGAUGACGGCCUUCGGGUUGUAAACCUCUUUCAGCAGGGACGAAGCGUAAGUGACGGUACCUGCAGAAGAAGCGCCGGCCAACUACGUGCCAGCAGCCGCGGUAAGACGUAGGGCGCGAGCGUUGUCCGGAUUUAUUGGGCGUAAAGAGCUCGUAGGCGGCUUGUCGCGUCGACCGUGAAAACUUGGGGCUCAACCCCAAGCCUGCGGUCGAUACGGGCAGGCUAGAGUUCGGUAGGGGAGACUGGAAUUCCUGGUGUAGCGGUGAAAUGCGCAGAUAUCA
rnacentral:rRNA from 1 species